rnacentral:tRNA from 1 species
GGAGAGGUCCGCCUGCUGGCAUAGGCAGCGGCCUGCUAAGCCGUAGGUCUUCGGGCCUCGCGGGUUCGAAUCCCGCCCUCUCCG